GAUGUAGCAGUACGGUUUUCUAUCCCCUGACGUCAUCUGGCCAGCUGAUGCGUGUGUUGUUGAUGACCAUGUAUCUGCCUAUAAAAGCGUUUCAGUUCACGUUAUGCGGGUGCGUUUGUUCCAUCAGCGAGCGAGCCGCCGUACUUCCGGGUUUUUGUGUACGAAUGGUAGUAAGGUAAGGGCUGCUUUCAGUGAAUGAUUUGCAAUGUUUAUGGUGUAUUGCACUGGGCUUUAUGAAAUUCAUUGACUUAAGGGUGGACUGAGGAGCUUUUCGGGAAACCCGUCAAUCGCUGCGUGAAUGGAGACGUUUACAUUACACGUCUCCAUCUGUGCUUCGUGAGUUCCAAUACAGCAUUGCAGUAUUUCGCAGGAUCAGCUGGACCGUGGUCUGGAUUUGGGGCGUGGUGCUUAUCCAAUUGUAGCUUUUCAUUGCCUCUGUAACCAGUUUACAGGCUUCCUGCCUAUUGCCUGUUUGGUAGCUGGGGUGACCGGACGCGGCGCCUACAGUGAUAACUUUUGGGCAGUUGAUUGCAUGACAAAAACCCAGAUUGUUAGAGGUGAUGUCUUUUUUUACUGUGUCUUUUAAAGGUUACUUAUUUGUUUUUUUGCUUU